CUUUCCGGGUUGUAAACCUCUNUCAGCAGGGAACGAAGCCUCACGGUGACGGUAUCUUGCAGAAGAAGCNCCGGCCAACUACGUGCCAGCAGCCGCGGUAAUACGUAGGGGGCGAGCGUUGUCCGGAUUUAUUGGGCGUAAAGCGCGCGUAGGCGGCCCGUUUCGCGUCGGAUGUGAAAAGCUCCGGAGCUNGACUNUGAGAGGCCAUUCGAUACGGGACGGCUGGAGGCAGGUAGGGGAGAGUGGAAUUCCUGGUGUAGCGGUGAAAUGCGCAGAUAUCAGGAGGAACACCGGUGGCGAAGGCGGCUCUCUGGGCCUGUCCUGACGCUGAGGCGCGAAAGCUGGGGGAGCGAACAGGAUUAGAUACCCUGGUAGUCCCAGCUGUAAACGUUGGGUGCUAGGUGUGGGNNGGUCNUCAACCCGCUCCGUGCCGAAUUUAACGCAU
rnacentral:rRNA from 1 species